rnacentral:misc_RNA from 1 species
GAUGAAGAACGUAGCGAAAUGCGAUACGUAGUGUGAAUUGCAGAAUUCAGUGAAUCAUCGAAUCUUUGAACGCACAUUGCCCCCUUUGGUAUUCCAAAGGGCAUGCCUGUUCGAGCGUCAUUUGUACCCUCAAGCUUUGCUUGGUGUUGGGCGUCUUGUCUCCAGUCCGCUGGAGACUCGCCUUAAAGUCAUUGGCAGCCGGCCUACUGGUUUCGGAGCGCAGCACAAGUCGCACUCUUUUCCAGCCAAGGUCAGUGUCCAACAAGCCUUUUUUCAACUUUUGACCUCGGAUCAGGUAGGGAUACCCGCUGAACUUAAGCAUAUCAAUAAGCGGAGGA